UCAAGUAAUGAAGUGCACAUGGUGGAUGCCUUGGCAGUCAGAGGCGAUGAAAGACGUGAUAGCCUGCGAUAAGCGUCGGUGAGGUGGCAAUAUCCUGUGACCCGGCGAUUUCUGAAUGGGGAAACCCACUUAUCAUAAGAUAAGUAUCUUACUUUGUAAGAGGCAAACCGGGAGAAGUGAAACAUCUCAGUACCCCGAGGAAAAGACAUCAAUUGAGAUUCCCCAAGUAGCGGCGAGCGAACGGGGAGUAGCCGAUCAAUUUUGUGGUAGUAAAAUGGCGUGGGAAAGCCAACCGUAGUAGGUGAUAGUCCUGUAUACGAAACUGCAAAUGCGACAUAUUAAGUAGGGCGAGACACGUGAAAUCUUGUCUGAAGAUGGGGGGACCAUCCUCCAAGGCUAAAUACUCCUGACUGACCGAUAGUGAACCAGUACCGUGAGGGAAAGGCGAAAAGAACCCCUGUUAGGGGAGUGAAAUAGAACCUGAAACCGUGUGCAUACAAGCAGUCGGAGCCCAUUUAUUGGGUGACGGCGUACCUUUUGUAUAAUGGGUCAGCGACUUAUAUUUUGUAGCAAGGUUAACCGUUUAGGGGAGCCGUAGGGAAACCGAGUCUUAAUAGGGCGUUUAGUUGCAAGGUAUAGACCCGAAACCGAGUGAUCUAUCCAUGAGCAGGUUGAAAGUGUCGUAACAGAUACCGGAGGACCGAACCCACUGUCGUUGAAAAGCCAGGGGAUGACUUGUGGAUAGGGGUGAAAGGCUAAUCAAACUCGGUGAUAGCUGGUUCUCCCCGAAAGCUAUUUAGGUAGCGCCUCGGACGAAUACCAUGGGGGGUAGAGCACUGUUUCGGCUAGGGGGUCAUCCCGACUUACCAAACCGAUGCAAACUCCGAAUACCCAUGAGUACUAUCCGGGAGACAGACGGCGGGUGCUAACGUCCGUCGUCAAGAGGGAAACAACCCAGACCGCCAGCUAAGGCCCCAAAUUCCUAGUUAAGUGGGAAACGAUGUGGGAAGGCAUAGACAGCUAGGAGGUUGGCUUAGAAGCAGCCACCCUUUAAAGAAAGCGUAAUAGCUCACUAGUCGAGUCGGCCUGCGCGGAAGAUGUAACGGGGCUCAAACUAGGAGCCGAAGCUGCGGAUUUAAUUGUUUCAAUUAAGUGGUAGGGGAGCGUUGUGUAAGCCUGUGAAGGUGUGCUGUAAGGCAUGCUGGAGGUAUCACAAGAGCGAAUGCUGACGUGAGUAACGACAAAACGGGUGAAAAGCCCGUUCGCCGGAAGACCAAGGGUUCCAGUCCAACGUUAAUCGGGGCUGGGUGAGUCGACCCCUAAGGCGAGGCCGAAAGGCGUAGUCGAUGGGAAAUUGGUUAAUAUUCCAAUACUUGUUUAUGAUGCGAUGGAGGGACGGAGAAGGUUAUGUCAGCCUGGCGUUGGUUGUCCAGGUGAAAAGAUGUAGAUAGGUUUAGUAGGCAAAUCCGCUAGACUAUUAUUGAGAUCUGAUAGCAAGCUGUACAUGUACAGCGAAGUGGCAAAUACCCUGCUUCCAGGAAAAGCUUCUAAGCGAUAGUUAUAAACAAAUCGUACCCGAAACCGACACAGGUGGUCAGGUAGAGAAUAC
rnacentral:rRNA from 1 species